rnacentral:rRNA from 1 species
UUCGUAGGGUGCGAGCGUUAAUCGGAAUUACUGGGCGUAAAGCGUGCGCAGGCGGCGCGUUAAGACAGGUGUGAAAGCCCCGAGCUUAACUUGGGAAUUGCGCUUGUGACUGGCGUGCUGGAGUGUGGCAGAGGGAGGUGGAAUUCCACGUGUAGCAGUGAAAUGCGUAGAGAUGUGGAGGAACACCGAUGGCGAAGGCAGCCUCCUGGGCCAGCACUGACGCUCAUGCACGAAAGCGUGGGGAGCAAACAGG